GGACAAUACAAAGGGCAGCGAAACCGCGAGGUCAAGCAAAUCCCAUAAAGUUGUUCUCAGUUCGGAUUGUAGUCUGCAACUCGACUACAUGAAGCUGGAAUCGCUAGUAAUCGUAGAUCAGCAUGCUACGGUGAAUACGUUCCCGGGUCUUGUACACACCGCCCGUCACACCACGAGAGUUUGUAACACCCGAAGCCGGUGGAGUAACCUUUUAGGAGCUAGCCGUCGAAGGUGGGACAAAUGAUUGGGGUGAAGUCGUAACAAGGUAGCCGUAUCGGAAGGUGCGGCUGGAUCACCUCCUUU
rnacentral:rRNA from 2 species